CGAGAUUACAUCGGAUCACCAUAGAAGAAGAUAUUUGUUAAUUAAAUUAUGUAUUAGAACGAAAUCAGGAUGCAAAUGAUAGAGCGUACGCAGUAUCUAAACUUGACAAUAUUUUAUACUUUAUUUAGAACUCUUUUUCGUUAUUUCUUUGAUUGUUGUUUGAGUUAUCGGUUUUUUGCAGCACAAAUAUAACACAGUUAUAAAAAAAUUCGAAAUUCGAAAAGUGAGGCUAGCAAAAAUUUGGUUUUCCAUUUUCCCUGAAAAAUACUUCAAGAUUGCGUUGCAGUUUGCGACACAAAUUGUCACAAACGUAGCACAACGCAACACGAUUGAGAAAAUCGCAAAACAAGUACGGGACUAAUUUCACACACGUACCGUCGAUACGAAAUAUUUCGCACUUGCGCGCGAAAGACAGAUUGUAAACAAGUCCAUGAAAGCGCGACUAAUUCGUAAUUUGCGACUGCAACGAUUGAUAUAGUUUGAUACGAACGACGAAAGUUUUGCAACGGCGAUUCAUGUGCAAUCUCGGUCACGUGUACGCUCGUGCUGGAACGCACAUGCGGCUGAUAAUGUACGUGCACGUCGCUAAAAGAACGCCCGCGCGAAGGACGUCUCUGAUGAGAGACGAGUGUGCGUAGGACACCGUGUGUCGCGCGCAUUGCUUCAACAACAACGGCUAUUUUCAAGUAAUCGACAUAUCGCCGAAGGUCGAGAAGUUUAACCUUCAACGAGCCGCGCCGUUAACCCGUAAAUGUUCGCGCUAAAAGCGCCACGCUUCGACUCGAAGCAAUUUGCGAAUCACAUCGAAAGAAGGAGUCAUCGAUUGAAGUGAUCCAUUCAUCGCCCCAUCGGCAGGAACUUAUGCACCGGUCUAAUUUAAGGAUGCACUGCCUUGCAAUCAAGAGCGUUGCCUUCGAUUUUGGACAGGUGUUCAAUGCAUAAAAAGAAAAAAAUCAAUGACCACCCUGGCAGCGCGUACUGAGUUCGAAUGAUCGGAACUCUUUCGCGUGGAUCUCUUUUUCGGUCUUCGACCACCCGAAAGACCCGAAAACCGAAAGACCAAGGUAAUUCAACACCAUUUUAUAUUCAUUCACCCGUACUGAUACCCUAUACACCAGUACGUGUUCAAAGCCCUUUGUUCUUGUAAGAGAACAUUGUUGUUCAUCGAAGAAGAAGAAGAAGAACGUUUUCUCGAUUACGGUAUUACAAAGGAGUUUCUCAUAUCCUUGUUAGUUUCUCAUAUCCUUGUUACUUCGUUUCAGGCAUCAAAGAAUGUGUGAUUUUUUAUUUGUUACCUUUUCUUUUGUUUAGUUCCUUCACCUGUUAACAAUCUCAUCUGCUUAUAAUUAUCAUUUUUAAAUAUAAUGGCACAGCACAAUAUAUAGAACGACGCAGACACGGUUAUGAUAAAAAAAAGGAAAGUUUUAUAUCCUCUAUUUGAUAAUUAUAUUAAUAUCACUAAUAAGAGAUUUUACUAAUAAAAUUCAAUUUUACUAAAUGCGAUGCAUGUUGCUUAUAAAUUUUUACCGCUAAUUUAUCUGACUUACGAAUUCAAAAUUUAUUACAGAAGUUAUGAUGAAGUUAGAGGCGCUCCUAUCAUCAAUCGAACGAUAUCUUUUAUUUGCUUUCGAUAGCGGUGACAGAUGCAAAUCAAUAACGCACACUCGCGCCAUGAUUCCGGUAUUUUCCAUAACGAGAGAUCGAGUUUAUUCUCAGCUAGAUCAACAGGUUGGACUGACGCGAAGGUGCGUCCACGCUGUAGAUUGGAGAAGCUAGGCGCGGGUUGGGAGGGUCGAUGGUUCGUAGCAAGGGCAAGCCGGGGCAAGUUUAGUCGCAGUAGCGAAAGGGUUGCUGACUGACGUCACGAUGACGUAAUGCCAAAGGCUACUGCUGUUUUCUCGUCUCGUGGCCGCAUCUGCCCUAUGGCUGACAUUGACACUCCAGGCAUCGAUUUGUUCUUCAACAAGCGUUCGAAUAGCCGAGAUGUGGAUGACCCAUUGACCCAACGAUCCACGAGAGAAGGAGUCGUGAAACUCUCAAUGAUCUCUUCAUCUUACUGGAUUUCGACGUCAGAGAUGCUCUUAAGUGUAAGUACAAAAAUACUUUGGGGAAAGCGCUCUGUGCACGACUUAUUCGCACGACUGCAUUACUGCAUGUUUACAGCUACAAAUUUCGCAAACUAAACUUGCUUCAUAGACAAAAUAAUAAUCAGAGUAAUAAAUUAUGCACGAUAGUUUUUAUAAAUACAGAAUAGAAUUUUUAUUUUUUACAACAAAUAUACAUACAGCCCGCAUUGCGAUGAAAAACAUGUGUCUUUAGGUUGCAAAAUAUUAACGUUCGAUUUCUGAGAACCCAAAAUACUUCGAACGAUUUAUUAUCUUUUUUGUUAUCAUUGUAUUAUUUUGUAUUAUUUUUUUCUAUUAUUAUUAUUUUAGGAGAAUAUUUUAGCACGAAUUAUUUCUGAGUUUUACAGCAAACGCGCGAUUCUAUCAAGAUGUUUCAAGGUUGCAUUAAGGCUUAAAUUUUGCAGAAUAUUGGUGUUACCUAAUAGCAUUUAUAGCUAGGUGAUUGAAAAUUAAUCGCGAUUCGCAUUUCAAAGAAUUAUUUAUCUCAGAUUAAUUAAUUCAAGGUUGAGCGAAUCGCAUAUAUCAGUCGUAGUCCAAGGUUACGAUAUGUGAAUUACAACUCUUAUCAAUUCUUUGCCUGACAAGGUCAAGUCUUCAUUUUUUUCAACGUUAUUUAUUAAUCGAUGUCCCGUGUACGCAUGAAUUUUAUCGCGCUAGUUAAAAAUUAUACACAUUUGUAAAAUAGAUAUCAAUAUCGAAUGUAAUUGGGCGGAAUAGUGUAAUUAGCAAAUCAUAAGGCUAAACGCAUUAAAAUAUUACUGUUACUUUUAAUAUUAUUAAUAAUAUAUUUAUUCUUCUUAUUAUUAUUAUUAUAAUAUUAUACUAAAAAAUAACUUUUUCGCUAUUGAAUUUUAUUGCGGACAAGUUGUUUUACUGUAAACGUAAAUUGUCGAAUAUCAGUAUUUUGUUUUCGAUAUCUCGCUGCUUAUAUUAUAAUAAAAAUAGCUUUAUUAUAUCCAUUAAAGGAGUUACGUAAUUCAAUUCGACCUUUCAUCUUAAUUUCUCAUCGGCGAUGAUAUCGCAAAUGAAGCAUUUAAGACCAGGAAAAUUAGAAUGCAAACAGGAAACGUCGAAUCACGGCAAGACCGCAAAAGAGAAGACCCCCAUCCCGUUGGUGGCACAUUCCUUUUUUUCGGUCAACGGACCGCGCCGAUCGUUGACGUAAUCGUACAGCGGCGGCGACGGCGCUGGGUCGAAGCAGGCAAAAGCGGGAGAAAUAGGCGCGACCUACAUAUUGUUUGGGUUCGCGUUACGCAACCUGCAUGUACGACGACACACGGGGAGGGCAAUGACCCGGCAUGUCGGCGCGGAACAGGGCGGCCACCACGUUGUGAAAGCGUGAGACGGCGGCAUGCCACGUGGCCCACGUGAACGGCCGCUUUCGAGUUUCACGAUGCGUACGGCACGUGGGUGAGUGAUCGCGGGCACUUCCCAGCGUACGAACGAUAUGGUACACUGUAAUUAUCUCGGCGCGAACGAGCGCGGCACGUGCCAAAGGUUUCACUCAGGGGGAGGCUUAACGCACGAGAUUAGUCAUGAGAUCAGGCGCGAUGAUGCCACGCGAGCUCCUAAAACGCUUUAAACCUUGAUGAUCGCGGCGCGCGUUACAACGCGCGAUAUAUAGACUCUCUGCAGCUAAUAUUAGGAAAGAGGUAUAUUGUUGGAAGAGAAGUUACAUAAAUGCAUGGCGCGCGACGUUGGUUGAAACUGUUGGGUUGUGUAGUCGUCCCGUCCUUUUACUUUUUAAUAACGAAUAUAUGUUACGACUCAUAUUAUCAAGAAUUAUCAAAACUUAUCAAAAAUACUAAAGGACGGGAUAGAUAUAUGUUAUAACCCAGUGGAAGAAAGCGGGGCCAUGGAAAGUCCAGCGUGAAUGGUAGAAUGAAAAAGAUGGUAGGUGAAUCAGUCUUCGGGAAGAUGACGAAGUUACAUUUUUAUAACGCUUGAAAGUGAAGAUAAAAUAAAUAGCGCGUCCGAUUAUUUGCAUGUAUGGCACUACUGUAUGCCGAUUGUGUGUUUGAUGAUAAUAUUUAAUAAGGUUAAGCGAACAUCAUUCCGAGCCAUUUCGUCUCUGUAGGUUCUUGCCUGUAAUUAUUCCGGCAUUGACUUGCCACGGGUAACCGGAGCACGUGUCAAGGACGCCGAUCGGUUAGGGUUCCACGCGAGUUAUUCAAGAUUCUCUCGCUUCUCUAGAUUCGCAACCUGUCACCACAAGUCCAAUGGAAUAUGCCUGAGAAAUUUACGGAUCUAUACAGCGCAAUAAAUCAGUAAAAGCAUCUCUUAUCGACGAUAUUGCGCCAUUUUUCUUGAAUUCUGUAAAUUAUUCGAUUCGGACCGAUGUUUUAUCAGCAGAUAUAAUGAUUGUGAAAGAGUACAAAGUUUGUACAAAUUAGAUAUUGUGUACAGAGAUUAAAUCCAGCAUUUAUUUUAUAAAUGUAUAAUAAUAUUUUCAAUACGUUGCAAAUAUAAAAC
rnacentral:lncRNA from 1 species